UACGAAGGGGGCUAGCGUUGCUCGGAAUCACUGGGCGUAAAGGGUGCGUAGGCUGGGUCUUUUUUUUUUUAAGUCAGGGGUGAAAUCCUGGAGCUCAACUACCAGAACUGCCUUUGAUACUGAAAGAUGUAGUUCGGGAGAGGUGAGUGGAACUGCGAGUGUAGAGGUGAAAAUUCGUAGAUAUUCGCAAGAACACCAGUGGC
rnacentral:rRNA from 1 species